UCUUCAAUAAAAUCAAAUAGUCCAAAAUCAGCCCCUGCCCGUGCCAUCUCCUACUGAUUAUUGAGCGGAUUUAUAGUGGGGGCUCAGUUUGCCCCGUUGACAUCCCUUCUCUCCUUGAACCGGCUGAGCGUAGUUGAAACGACCUCAUUCCCGCGGGAUAAAGUGACCUAUCGAUGGGUGGCAGAGAAUUUGCGGGAAAGAUGAAGUUGAGAGAUGACUGAUAAGUAAAAUUUGAUCAAAACUGGUGCGUUUCCUACACACACACGAGUCUAUAGAAUUGAUUGAUCUAUGCAAUAUGUGAUUUUCCAUUUAUGAUACUGAUGGCGAUUGUUCCUCAUUUGCUUAAUUUGUUUUCAUACUGCUUUAUUUAUAUACAUAAUUUUCUGUGAAUUGCUGUUAAAGUUGAAAUUAUUUUAUACAUAUUGAGAAUUUGAGAUUAAGAAAGUAUUAUAGUUAAAUAACUUUUAAUUAUUUUAUACAUAUUGAGAAUUUGAGAUUAAGAAAGUAUUAUAGUUAAAUAACUUUUAAUUAUUUUAUACAUAUUGAGAAUUUGAGAUUAAGAAAGUAUUAUAGUUAAAUAACUUUUAACUUGCAUGUGCU
rnacentral:lncRNA from 1 species